UAGAAAACAUUUUUGAUACUUAACUGCUUCAAUAAUAAUUAAUAUCUCGAAGCAAUGUAUUAAAAAGCGCAUUCCGUUUAAGGGACCUUUUGGCAGAGUACCAUAUUUUGUAAACCAAGGAGUGAUUUCAUUUCAAGAAAGUCAUGUACAGCAUCUACCAAUAAGGAUGACAUGAUUUUGACAGCUCGUAGCGGCCAUGUUUGUUUACGGAUUUGUAUAAAACUGUAUCUAUUGUUUGCUGUUUGGUGCGUUACCAUCAAUAACGAGCGUGAUAACACGAUGUUGACUGACUUUUUUUCGGAAUUUGAUGAAAAAAUCUGAGACUUAGAGGAGGACAGUAAAUUUUGCGCUGAAAUUCACUUUGUAAAGAUACAUCUCGGUGCGAACUAACUAGUCGCGGUGUUAAAAAUUACUACAUGGACACGAAUAAAACUGAAGCUUAAAUACAAUUCCAUCAACUUUAUCCAAAUUUGUAUGAUUGCAAACACUCCGAGUAUAAAAACAGAAUAAAAAAGUAGAAAGUUUAAAUAAAAUAGCUUAAGAAGUUUCUAUGGUUACUAAACUCAAAAAAAGUACAUGUAGCGCAGCUGAUGAUUAUGUCCCCAAGUUGUGGUGCUACAAAGAACUUCAGUAUUGCGCUGGAGUGGAUGAUGACAUUGCAGGCAAAAAGUCCGGACUAGAACUUAUGGCAGAUUGUUUAAUAGAAAGCGCAUUGCAGUUGAUUAAUACAGUGAAGAAAAGUGAUAUCAAAACUGACUUCUUUUUUCUGCAUGUCGGAAGUGAGAUGCAAGAACUUUUCGUUCCUAUACUCCGCAACACAAAUGGAGAAUUUUGGACAUUAUUUGCGAUGCUCAAAAAGCAAUUAAAAGAAAACAAGCAUUUUGGACGAUGGUUUGGCUCUUACGUUUGGUAGCGAAGAUUUUUAGACGGUUUAACGGUUACAUCAACAUAAAUUAAUACCAAAUGUAGUGCCCCACAUGGGAUUGAAUAGGUUUUGAAUUGUGUGAGGUUUACCUUAUGCUGGCGAAAAUUCAAGAGCUCAAAUGAAAUAAAAUCACAUUUUGUAAGCCUACAAAUAAAUGAAAUUAUUACAUUUACAUCAAA